UCACUUCCGCCUCCAGCCUCUAAUCGAGAGGAGCUCUCGGGGAUUGCAACCUCAGCCGAGCUGAACAUCUUCAGGCAGAGAGAUUCUGGUUUACUCCCCAGUGGCUACGGAGCCGCCUUGGAGGCCUUGGAGUCGGCUCAGCUUGAGGGAUGCAAGCCAAAAGGGGCCCAGAGCACAAGGUUGAGCACUGCUGGGUUGGGGUCUCCAUGACCAAGCUGUUCUCAGCAAGUGGCGCCCAAACAUGGGCCCGAACCCGGGUUGAAGGGUCACCAGAGCGAUAGUUGGAGAACGUGGAACUAUGCUGGAGGACACCUGAGUACUCUUAAGCAAUGCCCGUGUCUACAGAUGCAGAUCCCGACUCCUGCAAGAAGUAGCUCACUGUGAUAAAGCCACCUUUGCUUUUAUUGCCCUGGAAAAACAAAAAGGAAGACAUGCUGGGAAUAGGCCCCAAGCCUGCCCAUAAACAGGCCAUGAGAAACGUCAUAAACAAGAUCUCUGCAGCAUUGUGACAUGCUCGUGAUGGUUAUGAUGCACACACUAGAGGUUGCUGGUUCAUCAGAAUGAGGGCAAGGAACACCUGGUCCACCCAGGGCAGAAAACCGCUUAAAGUGUUCCUAAACCACAAACAAUGGCAUGAGCAAUCUGUGCCUUAAUGACAUGUUCCUGCUGCAGAUAACAAGCCAGAGCCUGUCCCUUUAUUCUCCUUAAAGAAUACUUUCAGUUAAUCUAUAUACUGCAGAAAUGAUGUUUAUCACAGGCUGUCAAUAAAUAGGUGGGUCAAACUCUGUUUGAGGCUGUCAGCUCUGAAGGCUGUUAGCCCCCUGAUCCCAC